AGCAGCCGCGGUAAUUCCAGCUCCAAUAGCGUAUAUUAAGGUUGUUGCAGUUAAAAAGCUCGUAGUUGAAUUUCGGGGUUAGCAGGUCGGUCGUGCCCAAUGGUAUGCACUGGCUCGCUGACUCCUCCUUCUUGUAGAACCGUAAUGCCAUUAAUUUGGUGUUGCGGGGAAACNGGACUGUUACUUUGAAAAAAUUGAGUGUUUAAAGCAGGCUAGCGCCUGAAUACAUUAGCAUGGAAUAAUGAAAUAGGACGUUCGAACCUAUUUUGUUGGCUUCUAGGAUUGACGUAAUGAUUAAUAGGGAUAGUUGGGGGCAUUAGUAUUCAAUUGUCAGAGGUGAAAUUCUUGGAUUUAUGAAGACUGACUACUGCGUAAAGCAUUUGCCAAGGAUGUUUCAUUAAUCAAGAACGAAAGUUAGGGAUCGAAGACGAUCAGAUACCGUCGUAGUCUUAACCAUAAA
rnacentral:rRNA from 1 species